UACGUAGGGUGCAAGCGUUGUCCGGAAUUAUUGGGCGUAAAGAGCUCGUAGGCGGUUUGUCGCGUCGAAUGUGAAAACCCGGGGCUCAACUCCGGGCCUGCUUCCGAUACGGGCAGACUAGAGGUAUGCAGGGGAGAACGGAAUUCCUGGUGUAGCGGUGAAAUGCGCAGAUAUCAGGAGGAACACCGAUGGCGAAGGCAGGUCUCUGGGCCGAUACUGACGCUGAGGAGCGAAAGCGUGGGGAGCGAACAGG
rnacentral:rRNA from 1 species